rnacentral:rRNA from 1 species
UACGUAGGCAGCAAGCGUUGUUCGGAAUUACUGGGCGUAAAGGGCGCGUAGGCGGCACAGCAAGUCGGGAGUGAAAGCCCGGGGCUCAACCCCGGAAUGGCUUUCGAAACUGCUGAGCUAGAGUGACAGAAGGGGCAACCGGAAUUCCCAGUGUAGCGGUGAAAUGCGUAGAUAUUGGGAAGAACACCUGAGGCGAAGGCGGGUUGCUGGGCUGAUACUGACGCUGAGGCGCGAAAGCCAGGGGAGCAAACGGG